rnacentral:rRNA from 1 species
UAUUGCUCUUCAACGAGGAAUCCCUAGUAAGCGCAAGUCAUCAACUUGCGCUGAUUACGUCCCUGCCCUUUGUACACACCGCCCGUCGCUACUACCGAUUGAAUGGCUCAGUGAGGCUUCCGGACUGGCCCAGAGGGGUGGGCAACUACCCUUCCGGGCCGGAAAGUUAUCCAAACUCGGUCAUUUAGAGGAAGUAAAAGU